rnacentral:tRNA from 8 species
CAGAGAAUAGUUUAAUUUAAAAUGCCAGCUUUGGGAGUUGGGUAUGGAGGUUUAAGUCCUCUUUCUCUGA